AUUGAACGCUGGCGGCAGGCCUAACACAUGCAAGUCGAACGAGUGGCGGACGGGUGAGUAGUGUCUGGGAAACUGCCUGAUGGAGGGGGAUAACUACUGGAAACGGUAGCUAAUACCGCAUACCAUGGGAUGUGGCCAGAUGGGAUUAGCUAGGAGGGGGGGUAAAGGCUCACCUAGGCGACGCUCCCUAGCUGGUCCGAGAGGAUGACCAGCCACACUGGAACUGAGAAACGGUCCCGAACCCUACGGGAGGCAGCAGUGGGGAAUAUUGCGCAAGGGGCGCAAGCCUGAUGCAGCCAUGCCGCGUGUAUGAAGAAGGCCUUCGGGUUGUAAAGUACUUUCAGCGGGGAGGCGGUACCCGAACAAGAAGCACCGGCUAACUCCGUGCCAGCCGCCGCGGUAAUAC
rnacentral:rRNA from 1 species